UUUUCUCCUCUGGACCCAGAAGGCUAAAAUGUGUAUUUAUUGUAUUUAUAGUAUGCUGCAAUGACUGGCAAUAGUGAGCUUAUUUAGAUAGUGGGAAUGGUUUUUCUGUGAUAACAGAGGUGAAAAGCCUCAGAUAAAGCUGAAAGCCUUGUUGGUAAUUGGGCUGGAAUUGCUCUAAUUUGUUAGUCUGUUUUAAAAGUUUAAAAUCCAAAAUGCAAUAAAUAGCUGAGUGAAAAUGAGCACAGAUUAAACCCCGCAUUCACUCUGUAAUAACAAAUACUGUGGAGGAUAUUUCUGAACUUGAAGCUUAGGCACUAUGAUUACAUUUAAACUAUCUGAUUUUUUUUUUUAUAUGUGCAGUAAAGUGCUCAAGCACAUCAGCUCUAAAUGGAUGUGUAAUCCUGUGACCGUUCCCUGUUCAGCAAAGUUCUUCAGCACAUACUUCAGUCACAGAAAAAUCCAUGGGUCUGAAGUAAACGUUGAGAGUUCAAGCGAUGAUAGCGUUAAUCUAAACAAACCUAUCCCCCUGAACUGCUCCUGGCAAGUGAGUCAUAGCUGGUGUGGGCAGAGAUCUGCAGGUUAUCUUCAGGACAGACCCUGUGUCCCUGGGAUGGAGAAGAGGCAGCCGUGCCCUCUGCUGAGAACUCUGCAUUUUCUAGCUGUGAGGAUUUUCCUAGUAA